UAAUGGAUCAUAUUAUACCACACACACACGCACAUGAAAUAAAGUGUUGUAGUGGCUUUUGGUUAAUAGAAUACUCCUGUUUUGUAAAGAGAGUUCAAUUCCCAUUUUACAUGAACGCUAGAAAAACAUCCUUAGCAAACAGAAAAGAACUUUGAAACUCAUGCAAAUGUGUUCUGUGUCAUGGCAUAAACAAUUAAUAUUGUAUAUCUGAAGUUGCUUGAUUUAUAAUUCCAGUGACAGCUCUUACACUGGUGGAAUUAGUUUAUUGACCUUGUCACCUCAAGGCUAAGGCUCCUGUGUGCAGACUCAAAGAAAGGAUGUUGAUCAUUCAUUAUUUGCUCACCUGUAUGUGCCAGUCUACCUGUAGCGUUACAGCAGACAAAUUAAUAUUCCAUGACAGAAAUGAAUAAUUCCUUCAUUUGCUUAGAAAGUCAAAAUUGAUUUUAAUGCACAUUCACGUAGAGAGAUAAAAGGCAUGUGUGGGUCGAUGAUGAGGUGAACUGUAUCCUAAAUUUGUACAGAAACGGGUCUUUUUCAGGGACAGAAUUUCAAAGUUAUUGUAGUGUUAAGUAUGUUGAGGUUCUUGAAGAAGCUUAAUAGAUGAACACCUAUGAACUGUGAUGAUAAGGCUUCAGAAAUGGGAGUUUGGUGAGAGCUGGUAUGACGGCGCCAUGUGUGAGGCAUUGUAAUGUUGGUAGGAUCAGGUCUAGGUAUCCAGGUUUUGUUUGCAGAUCAAGUUAAAGUCAGAGAGAGCAUUUAAAGGAAGUGUGGCCUGGCCUGAAUUUAUCCGAGGGUUAGUCUGAGGGUGAACAAACUGCAAAGAAGGUUGGUGGAGAUAAAUGGCCUUGCCCUGGACUCCUUUAGGAGAAAGAGCAGUCUAGAAAUUUAAUAACAAGUAUGUUAACAAAAUGUGAGUCUGUCUCUGCUGCAGGACGGAUUGCACAAGAUGAGGGCAGACAAAGUGAACUAGCAAAGGUUGCGAUACUUCGCCUUUGCAGAGCUAAAGAAGCUCAACUGAACAGGAACUUCAACAGGCUAUUAUCAACUUUAUCUGUGGCCACAGCUGCAUCUUAGUCUCCUGAAUUCUUCCACUGGCUGGGUACUUGUGCAUGUGCGCGCCAUUAUUUCAUCAGAGCAACAAAUCCUACUGCUAAAUCAGAGGUCAGUAAAACAGCUUGCACUUGAAGGAAAGACUUAUACAAACCUAUCAAAUAGCCUGUUGGGACUGUAGUGCUGCUGAUUUUCAGAUCAUAUUUUUUUACAUAGUCCUGUGUAGGUUAAUUUUCAAUAUUUGCAUCAGGAUAUAUUUUUUGUUUAAUGAUUGAAACAUAUAAUUAUUUUGUUUGCUUGCUAAAGGCAUGGUGGUUGUCGAUUUUGUCUCACACUAGACCCCUUUAGCUACCCAAUUCCAGAUGGCUCUAACUACAGAGGUAUUUGCAAACAUCCACACACUGUGCAACAAAAUGGUUUUCUAAUUCUACUGUAAGUAUAUGGGGACAAAGGGCACAAAACAUCCCUAAUCUCCCCACAGGCACUGCUACAGUUAAGGAUUGGCAUAGGGCUCAAUGGAAUAUAUUGAAUGUAAAAUCAAAAUGAAUUAGAGGAAGCACCAAGUAAUAUUUUUUCUCAUGGCCAUAUGGAAUAGGAAAACACAAAAUCAUCAGAUUCGGUACUUCUUAUUGUAACAGCCAAAUUAAAACACACAUAACAUGUAAAAAAUGAAAUGAAACAGAUUUUUCUUUAAACAAAAAUCACAGAUACUAAAGCCGUUCAUUGCAUGACAACGCCUGACUUACCUAUUUCUGUCAUUCAUUAUAGUUCAAGAGUCCGUAAGUCUAGCUCAUCUAGAAUUUCAACUAGAAGUCUGAGAAUCCUUUUCAAAAAAUAUUUACAGUUGUAUCCAACUAAGUUCUAUUCAGAGUAGACAAACUGAAAUCAAUGAACUAACAUCCGUCAUGUUCAUUAACGUCAGUGGAUCUACUCUGAGUAGGACCAACAUUGGAUACAACUCUUGUUCUUCAAAGACAUUUAUUCAAUGUCAAUUUAAUUCAGUACCAAAUCACUCCAAUACCUGUCUGUUCAGAAAUAAAUCUAAGUUAUCAUAAUGAUUCUUAUAUCAGAGGUUGCCUUUAUGUUUCCCCCCAACUUUUAUGACACACAUCCAACUGGGAUAAUUAAUAACUUAGAUGCAAUGGCUGCAUUCAGAUGUAAUAUUGAACCUUAGACUUAAGUAUUCCCCUCUAGUCCUCCAGUGCAGCUUGAAGAUUCACUUCUUUGUUUUAGUUUAACUGCACUUUCACAUGUUUUCUAAAACUCGGUUUAAUCUUAAUUUAUGAAUAGUGGAAACCAGCCAUUUUAAUAAACUACGGUUUGGCCUGUUUCUGCAAAGCAUAGUUAAGCUUAAAUACAGUUUGAUACAAUUUGGAAACAUGAAAAGCAACAGUUAAUUCUAAAAUGGAAGCAAAAACUUCUCUGAAGAAGGAAGAGGAAGUGUAUGAGGCCAACAGUCUCUGCAGCUCAUUUUCAUAAUGCUAAAAUAUUGUUAGCAUUGUGUUUGAACCAUUCUGAAAAACAAGCGCAACUUCAGUGUGAAUGGAUAACAAUGGGUAAUUAUCCUCAAGCUCUCAAAGCUUUGUUAAACAAAAUUGAACGUACAUGCAUAUAUAUUUUGAAAAGAAUGCCAAAGUAUAUUCCAGACUCAAGGGGAGAAAACUCUAUAAGAGGAUGUUCUGUGCUGGAAGAAUUUGGAAAGACAUAAUAAUGAAAAAUAGUUUUUCAGUUGAGCAUCCACAACUUACUCAGUUUGGAGAUAGAAGCAUGUAAAUGGAAUUUUAAAACAUGAUAACAAGUUGCGAAUCCUACAGCCUCUGUGUUAUAGCAGUGACUGGUUUUGGUAAAGGAUUAGAUGUGGAUAAGUAGGUUGAAAUUGAAUGCAGAAAAAAAACCUGUUUAAAAUUAAAUACAGAAAAAAACCUGUUUAAAAUUAAAUACAAAUCAAUCAUUGUUUUUAAAAUGAUGGCUAACCAGUCUCUUGGCCAAGGAGCAAUGGGAAAUCCUAACGUCACUGGGACCUUGGUUUCCCUUAGGUCUGAACCUGAAUCUGCAACAUGAGUGUCUCUGUAAUGCCAUUCACAAAGGCCAUCUGCUGAGAAGGGUGCAACUAUGCUUGUCAGAAUCAGUCGAUGGAGACUAUUUUGUAAUUUCAAAGGAAGGAUACUCAAUCGGUGUGGGCAAUUGGUGUGGGAAGGAUACUCAAUAUGUGGGGCUGCCCUUGAUGAAAGUUGGAGUGAUUUUGCUGGUACAGAAAGCAGUGGUGGACUGGGUCAUCAAGAGGCAAUUAAGCCAGCCUUUCAGCACGUUUUGUGCAGGAUUCCAUCUUGCCCACCAUGCUACUUAACAUCUAUACAAAGCUGCUGGGAGCUGUCAUCAUAUGAUUUUGAGUGAAGUGCCAUCAAUGUGUAGCUGGUACCCAGCUGUGUUUCUCUGUUCCAUCUGAAUCAGGAGAGGUUAGACUGAUGCUUGGAGAAGUUGAUUGGCUGGAUGUGGGUCAAUAAAUUGAGGCUGAAUCCUGAAAAGACAGAGUGGUUGUUUGACACAAAUUCUCAUGUCUGGGAGGUGGAGAGAUGACCUGUUGUAGACUUGAUUGUACUCUCCUGGAAGGAGCAGUUCCACAGAAGGCUCAGCUGGUCUCAGUGGCUAGGACUGCCUUUAUACAGCUCUGGCUUGUUUGCCAGUUGCAGCCCCUCCUGAACACAAAUGACUUGGCCACUGUACUCCAUGCUCUUCUAACUUUCAUAUUGGAUUAUUAUUGUAGAGGGCCCUUGAAGUCAACUUGGAAACAUCAACUGGUCCAAAAUGCAGUGGCCAAAUUGUUUGCCUUUAGAACUCACACAAUCCCGGUUCUAAAACAGUUACACUGGUUGCCACUUGGUUUCUGGGCCCAAUUCAAGGUGUCAGUGCUAGUGUUUAAAGCCCUAAAUGACUUAGGCCUCAAAUAUCUGAGAGUUCACCUCCUUCCCUAAAGACUCUCAUGGGUGUUAAGAUAAGCAGAUGAGACCCUCUUGAUAGUUUCACUGUCCUCAGAAGCUCAGUGGGUGACCUGGGAGAGGGCAUUAUCUCUGGCAGCCCCUAAUUUGUGGAACUUCCUUCUCACACAGGUGUGUUUAGCAACUUCAUAAUGUAUUUUUCAGCAAAUGCCGAAGAUACAGCCUUUAUGCUGGCCUUUAUCACCUGAGAUGUACAUUAUCAGAAACCACCCUAUUUUUGUGGUUGUAUUUUUGAAUUGUAAGUUUUAAAACUGUUUUUAAUGUUGCAUGUUAAAUUGUUGCAACCUGGGAACUUAUGGUGAAGGGUGGGUACACAACAACAACAACAACAACAACAACAACGCCGGGGAGCAUAGCCAUCUUCUGCAAAACUUCAUUCUAGGUAGGGGAAACUAGGAAUAUAAGAAGAUGCACUUUGUGAAUCUGUGGUAUUUCUCUUUUUCUCAUAAUCGCGAUGAUGGAUGAUUAUGUCCUUCUCAAAGGAUGCACCUGACUAGAUCAAAGUCAUCAAUUAUUAUUUAGUUUACGAAGAAUGUAGCUAUUUUCUUUUAUGUUAAACUAAGGAUAGGUGUUACAUUUUCCAAGAUAGUUCAAACAAAGAUAAAGUAUAUCUCCUUUGUUGAACUGUCGGAAAGAAACGAUAUAAUGUCAACACUAGGAAACUGAAGAAAAGAACAAAAAAAUAAAUAAAUCCCAAGACAGUUAGCAAAGCUUGCAAAGCACUCAAAGCUUUACCACAUCGUAUUCUUGGCUAUCAUCCACUAUGCUGUUGUGACAAACCGAUGCUGUGUUCUCAGACUGAACUGAAUAAUGUCCAAUGUCGUGUGAUAAAUUUUAAUACCAAGUGAACAAUUGAAGACGGGAAUUCAUUUUACUGUUAAUAGGAAUCCUCUUUUAAUCUGCUACAUAUUUGGGUGAAAAUGUGCUACUGUAGAAAUGCCUUCACAGUUGAAAUCGGUAUUUGCUGACUUCUCCACAUUUAGAUGAAUGCAGAAUAAAAUAGAUCAUUUUGAGCAUGGUACUCAGAUCAUCUACCCUUUGCAAGGACAACGUAUGAGGCCCAAUUCCGUCCUCCAAAUAGCUUAUUCACUUUUCCAUGUUUGCCUUUCAGGACAUCCUUGGGGGCAGCUGUGUUUUUAAAUUAUAUAUAGUUUACACAUGCAAUGGAUUCAGAGGGAAAUAGAGCCUCCACUAUUGGCUUGGGGGUAAUACCAACUGCAUCAAAGAUCUGUUCCUCCCCUUGAGUCUAGUCAACACUGAAGGAUGUUGUUUCUUAUCGCAAAGAGAGUCCCAUUUCAUGGCAUGCAUUGUCCUAAGAAGUGUCCUUUUUAAAAAUGUGCUCAUGAGGUUAUGGGAAAGCAAAGCAGGAUUGGGAGCUCCAUGCAACCUUAAUGCUGACUCAGAAUGAAGGAGAACUUUGCACAAAGAGCUGGGAGGGGGGAAAUGGGCAGGGGUGGUCUGAAAGGAAACAACAUGGUUGACUAUAAAGCAUCUGUUUCACAUGUAGAAGGCCAAUUUAAUCCUUGGCAUCUCCACGUAGGGCUGGGAGAGACUCCAGUCUGAAGCGUGGAAAAGCAACUGACAUUACUAGGCUAGAUGGAUUGGUGUUUUGACUUGGUUUAAGUCAACUUCCUAUGUGAGUGAUGAGCACGAGAGAUGGUUAGCUGCUGUUUUCUAGUUUCACGAGAAAGCUGUGAAUUGGUGUGCUUGAGGUUUGUGAAAAGCUUUUCUUGGGUUGUAGGCUCUGUUGAACUUUUGAGGAUUACACCUGGUUCCUUGGUAGCUUCCUGAUUCCCCCCCCCCCGAUUUUUUUAUUAAUUUUCCACAUUUGUAACAAAAAUGACAUUACAAAAAACACAAAAACAAACAAACCCACAUUUC